rnacentral:rRNA from 1 species
UACGUAGGGUGCGAGCGUUGUCCGGAAUUAUUGGGCGUAAAGGGCUCGUAGGCGGUCGGUUGCGUCAGGAGUGAAAACUCGGGGCUUAACCCCGAGCCUGCUUCUGAUACGGGCAGACUAGAGGUAUGCAGGGGAGAACGGAAUUCCUGGUGUAGCGGUGAAAUGCGCAGAUAUCAGGAGGAACACCGGUGGCGAAGGCGGUUCUCUGGGCAUUACCUGACGCUGAGGAGCGAAAGUGUGGGGAGCGAACAGG